GAGACAAUAAGAGAGGUGGCAUCUUUCCUCACCACCUGAACACUGGGCCAUGAUGUGGACUGCUUGUACAGUUAAGGAAAUGCAGGGAUGGAGUUGGAAGCACCUUCUGUGUCAUUUCUCUUCCAGGUCCCAGGAUGAAAUCCCAGGAUGAUGGAGUGCCCCCUCAUGACUUGAAGCACCUGCUUGGCUGGGAACUGAAUUCGAGAUUCAUCAGACUAUCCCAUGGAUCCCACAGAAAAGACAAGCGACAGUCCACCACCAACGAACCUCCAUGGAGUUCUCCUUCUCCACCCAGCCACAGGGACUUUUGUCUAAGCAAUGGUGACAUUCAUUGUGACACCAGCCAGAGCUCACAAUCAGGCAUGAUGCCCUGAGACAUGCUCAUUCCCAUUCAUGAGGCAGGCACAAGUGCCUGACUAUCAGAACUGUCAGCCUGCCUAUACAGAGAAAAAUGGUACAGGCAGAGACAGCCUGGUAUUGGGAAAAAGGCUGUCUGCAAAAACCCACUGUGGGACCCUAAGAGUCUCAACCUCAAAGCAUGUUCAGGCUUUCUCCGUGGUCAGGUCCCCCUGGAGAUGGAUGUGCUUCAAAACCAUGAGGUGGUCCCUGGAAACUGCAUUUCUCACUCUUUCUCUGAAAGAGGCUGUAUUCCAGAAUCAGGUCCCGUGAAGUUUGGAAUAUAUUCUGGUGUAUUUUUGAGGGUUCUUUCGGUGAUAGAAUCAUACCUGAAACCCCAGAGGCAGGUGUCUAUAAAAGACGGACAGGCUCUUGACUUCACUGCCUCCCUUCAUCCUCGGCCUUGCAGGAGCUCUCUGGGGAAGGCAGGAACCACAACAAAGGCAAGUCCAAGAUGGAGCAGUGUUCUCACAUCUUGCACUGACCUCUCAUGGGUGUAGAUGAGGUUGAGACAGUAUCUCAGAGGCCAUCUGUGGUGAUGGCAAGCCUGAAAACUAUGUCCAGUAGUUCUGUUGAGAGGCACUGUGGAUUCCUGAUGAAAGCAGGGAAAAAUCCAAGACUCAUCUGAGAGAAUGAGCUGCCUUGUGCUGGAGUUGAAGCAAUGUUCAAUGAUUCCUGUCAGAGGACCCAAUAGCCUCCUGCAAAGUGCAAACAACCUCAGACCCCACAAUGAGACAAGGACCACCUGAAACAUGGAGUGCAGCCAGCCUACCCAAAGUCCCUUUUGCUCUUUGAAAUCCCUGGCAGCAAAAUAAUAUGUGGCAAGAGGCAGUCCCAUCCAGCAACAGCCCAAUGAAAGAGCUCGUCCACAAUGAGAAGGCCUUGCAGAAGACCCAUCCCGUCCAACAUCAAGCUAUACCAUUUCCAUUUGUCUCUGGGUAUGAAACCCCUGAAAUCAAGAGUUUGCCAGGAUAGCCCAAACCUACACUCCAAAUGUUCCUUGAACGUUGGAGUACUCCCACGUGAACAUCGAGCCAUGGUGUGGGCUGCUUGUGCAAUUAAGUGAAUGUGGGUAUGGAGUUGGAAGCACC